GUACACGCUGUGACUAGCAUAUCAAUAAGCGGAGGAAAAGAAACUAACAAGGAUUCCCCUAGUAACGGCGAGUGAAGCGGGAAGAGCUCAAAUUUGAAAUCUUAAAGGUUUUCCCUUGACGAAUUGUAGUUUAAAGAAGUGUUUUCUGUUGAAGGUUUUGGUAAAAGUUCUUUGGAAUAGGACAUCAUAGAGGGUGAUGAAUCCCGUAUAUUGACCUUGACUGUACGACUUUAGUGAUACACUUUCAAAGAGUCGGGUUGUUUGGGAAUGCAGCCCAAAACGGGAGGUAAAUUUCUUCUAAGGCUAAAUAUUGGCGAGAGACCGAUAGCGAACAAGUACCAUGAGGGAAAGAUGAAAAGAACUUUGAAAAGAGAGUUAAAUAGUACGUGAAAUUGUCAAAAGGGAAGCGUUUAACACCAGUGUUGUUUUCUGAAAAUCAACCUCUGUUAGCUUUAUGCAUGUUUGUUUAGAUCUAAUCAGCUAUCUUGCAUGUUCUAUUGUUUGCAGUGGUGCACUUUUCAGUUUACAGGUCAACAUCAGUUUUUUUACCGUAAAAAAGUUAAAGAAAGGUAGCUCAUGGCUCCGGUCGUGAGUGUUAUAGUCUUUUUCCUAUGCGGUAGGAGAGACUGAGGUCUGCAGUGUAGGCUAUUUGGCUAGAUACUCAGGUGCUAUGUGAUACCAUUUCAUAAACAACUUGUUGAUUAUGUUUUGUCUAUUGCAUACUCGCUUGUACUAUCAUACCUACGCUUAGGAUGUUGACGCAUGAGAUAUACGC
rnacentral:rRNA from 1 species